rnacentral:rRNA from 1 species
UACAGAGGUCUCAAGCGUUGUUCGGAUUCAUUGGGCGUAAAGGGUGCGUAGGUGGCGCCGUAAGUCAGGUGUGAAAUCUCGGGGCUCAACCCCGAAACUGCACUUGAUACUGCGGUGCUCGAGUACUGGAGAGGAGAUUGGAAUUUACGGUGUAGCAGUGAAAUGCGUAGAUAUCGUAAGGAAGACCAGUGGCGAAGGCGAAUCUCUGGACAGUUACUGGCACUGAGGCACGAAGGCCAGGGGAGCAAACGGG